ACCCCGACACUGAAGUCAAGUCAACCCUCACUCGCUCUUAUUCCCCACUGCUGCCUCCACCUGCUCCGACGACCGACGGGGUUAGAAUAGGGGUCAAGCGGGAGUCGACAAAAUAGCUUUAGCGGUCGAUGACGGGCUUCCACGAUAAGAUCUACACAAUUCUCCGGUCAAGUCGCCAGGUCAAGUCAAUGUAAUCAUCACCUCCACCUUCGCCCUGUUCUUCUAAUUGAGGCGGCCAGGAGAAGGUAGGGCGGGAGAUCAAACUGCGCGCCAUGGCUUUCUUAUCAUUCUUAUCGUCGUUGUUGUUGUGCCUUUUGGGCAUCCUCCUCCUCCACGGGGCAGCGGUGACAGGC
rnacentral:lncRNA from 1 species